rnacentral:tRNA from 1 species
CCUUCGAUAGCUCAGUUGGUAGAGCGGUGGACUGUAGAAGUUUAAUUCAACAUUGUAGAAAUCCAUAGGUCACUGGUUCAAAUCCGGUUCGAAGGA